GUGCUCUCUUCACCAGCACAUGUACUAAAAUUGGAACGACACAGGAAGAGUAGCAUGGCCCCUGCGCAAGGAGAACACAGAGAUGGUCUGAUAACACCACACUAGAC
ensembl:snRNA U6 U6 spliceosomal RNA